rnacentral:lncRNA from 1 species
CGGUAAAUUAGUUUGUUUUUUAUUAUUUCUAUUACUCUUUGUAGCUCUCCUAUAGAGUAUAGAUUUUAUAACAAUUGAUUUAAAUUUUAUUUUAUAAAAUAAGGUUGAUAAGUUUGCUCAUAGUGUAAAUCAGAUAAGUUAACUCAUAGUGUUUGUCCAUUUUAACAAGUAAAAUCAGAAUGAUAUCAAAAGAUGACAUCAAAUUUCUAAGUAGAAAUAAAAUGAACAAAAUAAAGUAUUGUGUGUUACAUUUCCGUAGAUAUAUAUGAAUGUUAGGCGUUGUAUGGAAAAUCUCGAUGAAUUAAGGUACCCAAUGGAAAGGAA